rnacentral:pre_miRNA from 1 species
AAUAAACGGAUUUCUGAGUUUUUGGAUAGAAUUUUUGACUCUUCGUCUUAUUUGAAUUUUUUUUAUGAUUAAUAUUUUUAUUUUCACCACAUGAUAAAAUAUAAAUAGUACUUUACGUGCGACUAAUUUUUUUUAAUUUUUUAAUAAUUUUUUUUAAAUAAGACGAAUAGUUAAACACUCUAACUAUAAAAACCAG